CUACGGGUUGCUGCAGUGAGGAAUUUUGCGCAAUGGGGGGAACCCUGACGCAGCAACGCCGCGUGAGUGAUGAAGGCUUUCGGGUCGUAAAGCUCUGUCAAGUGGGAAGAACCUAUGCAGUGUUAAUAUCACUGUAUACUGACGGUACCACUGAAGGAAGCACCGGCUACCUCCGUGCCAGCAGCCGCGGUAAUACGGGGGGGUGCAAGCGUUAUUCGGAAUCAUUGGGCGUAAAGGGCACGUAGGCGGCUUGGUAAGUCAGAUGGGAAAGCUCGGGGCUUAACCCCGGAAGUGCAUUUGAUACUGUCAGGUUUGAGUAUGGGAGAGGGAAGUGGAAUUCCUGGUGUAGAGGUGAAAUUCGUAGAUAUCAGGAGGAACACCGGUGGCGAAGGCGACUUCCUGGACCAAUACUGACGCUGAGGUGCGAAGGCGUGGGUAGCAAACAGGAUUAGAUACCCGAGUAGUC
rnacentral:rRNA from 1 species